CUCUUUUGAACCGAUUUGCCCACUUGUCGAAAAUUUAGGUGAUGGACAACGAAUCUCGGUGGGUGCGGUGAGAGUACGUUUAUCUCGCAUCUUAUCACCCCCGGUUAUGCAGGGUGAAGGAGCGAAUGGGAUGACGCGCUAAUCGACUAAAGCACGAUGAAGUGGGGAUUAUUGUACCCCUCUAUAUCCACCAGCUAGCUUAUCGUGAUUUUUAACAACGCCAUGGAUUACAUUCGGCGUGCCUCCCACUAGUCUCCAAUUUUGGCUUUGAAGCCAAUCAGUUGACACAUCAAAAGUUUCUAUUCAAACGAAAGGGAAAGAUCAGCACAAAGAGAUCAUUUCCGGCCUAGAUAGGAUGGUUCUCGUAUCGCGUUGGAUUCCAACGAAGGUGAAACCAUUCGGAGCUGGUUGAGCAUCACGUUCAUAAACGUAUGUAAGAUCCUCCUUUGGCUCUGCCAACCGGAUUCCGUUCUUGGGAUCGGCCGAAUAACCAAUCAAUGGUAUCACACCAAGUCGUACUGGGCGAAAGACAGUAUAGUAUGGGCAGUACUCAAACACUCAGUGGACCUACUUCUCGGGUCUUUGAUCUUUCAGGAGUAAUCCACAGACGGAAAGACAGACAGACGGACAGACGGACAGACGGGCCUUGCAUUCUAUCUCAACUAUUGGAUGGGGUGAUGCCGAUGUCUUACAAUGUCUUACUCACCUCCCAUGGUAGAGUCCAUAAUGACGACCGAGAGAGGAUUCUCAAGCCUAAAGGUGUCUUGACCCGUCCGGGUUAUCAAGGCUAAAGGCCGAAGUGAAGUGGAGAGCACACGCCCACCACGAUUGGCCAGAAUCACGAUCCACGAGUAGA